rnacentral:lncRNA from 1 species
CUCACACAACGGUAGGUACAUGGAAUAUGAACUGAAGAACUCUUACUCUGAACAUCAAAUUGUUCUCAGACUUUCAGAGAUGCCAUCUUAAUGGGCUUUUUAUAGAACAUUCAUUUUCACCAAAGGAAUAAUAUAUACCUUACAGGAAAUUUGGGGUAAUAGUAAGAAUGAAACCACUAUGCCUGAUCAUGGGCCUUUUGGCUCUUGCAACAUGUUUCUUGGUCAAUGAAACUUCUGCAGAAGCUCAAAAACAUAUGCUGUCUGGAUAGGCUACAUAAUCCUGCCAUUUACUACACCCACUUAAAGUCAAAGAGUUCCAAGAGAACCAUAUCUUCCUGGCCAUCAGUCACCAUCUCCUCUGAUCUAUAAGCAAAGACAGGUUCC